UACGAAGGGGGCUAGCGUUGCUCGGAAUUACUGGGCGUAAAGGGAGCGUAGGCGGAUAGUUUAGUCAGAGGUGAAAGCCCAGGGCUCAACCUUGGAAUUGCCUUUGAUACUGGCUAUCUUGAGUAUGGAAGAGGUAUGUGGAACUCCGAGUGUAGAGGUGAAAUUCGUAGAUAUUCGCAAGAACACCAGUGGCGAAGGCGGCUCACUGGCCCGAUACUGACGCUGAGGCACGAAAGCGUGGGGAGCAAACAGG
rnacentral:rRNA from 1 species